rnacentral:rRNA from 1 species
CCAGACUCCUACGGGAGGCAGCAGUGGGGGAUAUUGCACAAUGGGGGGAACCCUGAUGCAGCGACGCCGCGUGAACGAAGAAAUAUUUCGGUAUGUAAAGUUCUAUCAGCAGGGAAGAAAAUGACAGUACCUGACCAAGAAGCCCCGGCUAACUACGUGCCAGCAGCCGCGGUAAUACGUAGGGGGCGAGCGUUAUCCGGAUUCACUGGGCGUAAAGGGAGCGCAGGCGGCACGGCAAGUCCGGUGUGAAAGCCCGGGGCCCAACCCCGGGACUGCACUGGAAACUGCCGGGCUGGAGUGUCGGAGGGGCAGGCGGAAUUCCUAGUGUAGCGGUGAAAUGCGUAGAUAUUAGGAGGAACACCGGUGGCGAAGGCGGCCUGCUGGACGACGACUGACGCUGAGGCUCGAAAGCGUGGGGAGCAAACAGGAUUAGAUACCCGAGUA